AUAGGGAGCUCAUUGGUAAGAUGGACAGGACACCCUCAGCACUAGGGAAUUAAGAGAAAAUCUACAGAACUCAAGGUGCAACUGUAGAGUUUUUCUUCAUGGCAAGUGAAGAGAUGGGAACAAGAAAAGAAUCAGCAGCUGGAUUACAGAAGCCAAGUAAUUAAUGCAUAGGAAUGACAGUUGCUAGAAAAGUCUGCCUAAAUAUGUCUUUUUCUCCCAAGGCAGCAGACGCUGAGCCUGGGGCUUGAAACAAGUGUACCAGGAUCACUAUUUGUGGCCACUAGAGUUUCAGAGCUGUGAAGCACUCAUUACUUGGCAAGAAAAUCAUCCAGCCACAAGUCAGCAGCAUUCCAGCUUACACACCUUCUGUUAAUGAAGGGAAAGGAGUGAUGACACACUGCCGGGAAGUGAGUGUGAAAAGGAAAGUGUUUUAAUGCGAUCAGUCAGCACGGCCCUUUCUGGAUCAUUUUGUCCACCUAAUCCUGUUGAGCUGCUUUGGAUGGUUAAAGGUGACCAUCCCAAUCCCGUCUGCUCGCAGAAAGAGGAACUCAAGGUGAAUCCAAAGGAACUGUACUGAUUUGAGAAUGUAAAAAUGCAGGGGGAAAUGAAGGCAAAAGGACAAACUGUUGA